GACGGGUGAGUAAUGUCUGGGAAACUGCCUGAUGAGGGGGUUAACGUACUGGAAACGGUAGCUAAUACCGCAUAACGUCGCAAGACCAAAGAGGGGGACCUUCGGGCCUCUUGCCAUCAGAUGUGCCCAGAUGGGAUUAGCUAGUAGGUGGGGUAACGGCUCACCUAGGCGACGAUCCCUAGCUGGUCUGAGAGGAUGACCAGCCACACUGGAACUGAGACACGGUCCAGACUCCUACGGGAGGCAGCAUG
rnacentral:rRNA from 1 species